rnacentral:rRNA from 1 species
UACAGAGGUCCCAAGCGUUGUUCGGAUUCACUGGGCGUAAAGGGUGCGUAGGCGGUCGGGUAAGUCUGAUGUGAAAGCUCGGAGCUCAACUCCGAAAUGGCAUCGGAAACUAUUCGGCUCGAGGAAUGGAGGGGAGACUGGAAUACUUGGUGUAGCAGUGAAAUGCGUAGAUAUCAAGUGGAACACCAGUGGCGAAGGCGAGUCUCUGGACAUUUCCUGACGCUGAGGCACGAAAGCCAGGGGAGCAAAC